GUGGGGAAUCUUGCGCAAUGGGCGAAAGCCUGACGCAGCCAUGCCGCGUGAAUGAUGAAGGUCUUAGGAUUGUAAAAUUCUUUCACCGGGGACGAUAAUGACGGUACCCGGAGAAGAAGCUCCGGCUAACUUCGUGCCAGCAGCCGCGGUAAUACGAAGGGGGCUAGCGUUGCUCGGAAUUACUGGGCGUAAAGGGCGCGUAGGCGGACAGCUUAGUCAGAGGUGAAAGCCCAGGGCUCAACCUUGGAAUUGCCGUUGAUACUGGCUGUCUUGAGUUUGGGAGAGGUGAGUGGAACGACGGGUGUAGAGGUGAAAUUCGUAGAUAUUCGGAAGAACACCAGUGGCGAAGGCGACUCACUGGCGCAAUACUGACGCUGAGGCGCGAAAGCGUGGGGAGCAAACAGGAUUAGAUACCCCUGUAGUCC
rnacentral:rRNA from 1 species